UCGAGAGGCUUCGGCAAUGGGGGAAACCCUGACCGAGCGACGCCGCGUGGGUGAUGAAGAUCCUCGGAUCGUAAAACCCUGUCAGGUGGGAGGAAAUACCAUUCGGUUAACACCCGAGUGGUUUGACAGUACCACCAGAGGAAGCUCCGGCCAACUCCGUGCCAGCAGCCGCGGUAACACGGGGGGAGCAAGCGUUGUUCGGAUUCAUUGGGCGUAAAGAGCUCGUAGGCCGCUCUGUAAGUCGGAAGUGAAAGACCACGGCUCAACCGUGGAAACGCUUUCGAAACUGUGGAGCUUGAGGCCGGGAGAGGAGAUUGGAAUUCCUGGUGUAGCGGUGAAAUGCGUAGAUAUCAGGAGGAACACCCGUGGCGAAGGCGAGUCUCUGGACCGGUUCUGACGCUGAGGAGCGAAAGCUAGGGGAGCAAACAGGAUUAGAUGCCCUGGUAGUCCUAGCUGUAAACGAUGGGCACUAGGUGUGGGGGGAUCGACCCCUUCCGUGCCGCAGUUAACGCAUUAAGUGCCCCGCCUGGGGAGUACGACCGCAAGGUUGA
rnacentral:rRNA from 1 species